rnacentral:rRNA from 1 species
UACGUAGGUGGCAAGCGUUGUCCGGAUUUACUGGGCGUAAAGAGCGCGCAGGCGGUCGUUCAAGUCGCGUGUGAAAGCCCCCGGCUCAACUGGGGAGGGUCACGCGAUACUGAUCGACUCGAAGGCAGGAGAGGGUAGUGGAAUUCCCGGUGUAGUGGUGAAAUGCGUAGAUAUCGGGAGGAACACCGGUGGCGAAGGCGGCGAUCUGGGUAGAUACUGACGCUGAGGUGCGAAAGCGUGGGGAGCAAACAGG